rnacentral:lncRNA from 1 species
CAACCUUUGCAGAUUCUAAAGUGGAACAAAUGUUGCACAAGAAAGAGGUGAGUUACUUUAUAUUGUACUUGCAUUGUCACCAAAAUUUGGAAUUUAUUUCAAAAAUCUAGUUAGACAUGUGUAUUUGAUUUUUUACAUAUAUAAUAACAAAAGUUUAUGUGAUGAAAAAAUGCACGAGCCCAACAAGAAAUUUUCUAGAUUUAAUUUCAUAUUUUAUUCAUCUAAGAAAUCGGGUUCAAUUCAUAUACUAUAUCAGGUAACAUUGGGAAAAUCAAAAGAAGAUUUGUUAGCAAAAGAAAAAAAAGUUGUGCACUUAGAUCUUUCUAUUCAGGUUUCAAUUAUUAUUACAAGAUUUAGUGCAUUUUGCUAAAGAUUUUCAUGAUAUGUUUUCCACAGAAAAUUAUAAUCAUGGCUUAGUGAAAGUAAAGAUUCUUUUGAUCACUUUAACGGAUGUUGGUGAAACUUUUAAUAUUCUUUCCAUAGUAGUGAGUUUUUAACUUUUUUAUUGCAAUGGAGAAAUUGUAUAACUAAUAUAAGAAUAAUGAUUGAUCUAACAAUAUUUAUAUUGGUUUUGUAAUGUUAGAUGAUGUUGAUACACCUGAGAAUUUUGAUGAUGCACAUUUGGAUAUGCCUCUACCAGGUAAUAGUUAGACAUGAUAGAUAGUAUAUUUUGAAUCUUCUAGAAUUUAUUAAUCGAGCAAAUGAUGAAUAAUAUUGUGUCAUUGUUAGAAAUUUCAAAAAUAAAAAAGAAAGCUAAAAACAUUAGCAUGAGGUCAUAAAGUCUGGUGAACAUGAAGAUCAAAGAUCCUCAGGCAUGCACAUCUAAACAUUCUAAUUUUAAAUUGAUAUCGCCUAUGUUAAUCUAUUUAUGUUUUGAACUACCACUUGUUACUAUUGUGUAAUUACCAUGAAUAUGAACCAGUACACAUGUGUACCGUACUUGCUUAGCUCCAACAACUUAUAAAACAUAUACAAAUAUAAUUAAGCAACUUUAUUUGUAGAUGAAUUUGUGGAGAGAGCAACUGAUUGCAAACUUGUUGAAGAUUCUCAUAUGGAGUCACAUUUACCUUUGGCAGGUAAUUAUUCAACCAAUUAGAUAAAUUUUCGUUUUUAAUAUUCUUCAUUGUGAACAAUAUUAACUCAAUCAUUUAGGCACACUAUACCAGGAGAAACAGGACCUUAUGGGAAAAACAUCAAAGAAGACUAAAAUAACUCAAGCUAAGGACAAACAUAUAGCUAAGGGUACAAACUAUUGUCAUUAUAUAGACACUUAAUCUUUGAAGUGUUCUUGUAUGAUUGAUGGGAGUUUCUGCGCAACAUUAUCAGCAAAGAAGGCAAAAAAAAAAUGAAGUCUAAUAUCUUAAAAGACAAGAUACAAAGCAUAUCUGAUUCAUCCCACCAACUUACUGAAGUUGUUGUCCAGCAUAAUGAAGGUUAGUAUUCUACAUGAGACAACGGUGUUAAUAGUUCUAAAUCAAACCAUCAACGACAUAUAUUAUGCAAAUACAUUGUGUUUGUCAUUAACUAAUUUUAUUAAUAUUAUCAUCAACUUUUAGGCAAAAGAGUCCCACAAACACCAACACUCAAGUCAAGGAGUGGCUGAACAAUCAAGCGAAGAACAUUGGGCUAAUGAAGUGAAAGAUUUUAUGAGACUUUCAAGCAACUUGUGUAUGUACUUUGUACAAUUCUCUAGCUAUGACUUUUGGCUCUAUUACAC